ensembl:lncRNA
AUGUCAUCUUUGGGCCAAAAGAUGACAUUAUCGCCCUUGCAGUUGUGGAGAUAUAAUCUAUUUACUUUUGUUAUGUUCUUUCCUGAACAAAACUUUUCCCCUGAUAUCAAAAAUGGUAUAGAAUAUCGAUCUUUUUCCAGGAAUAGUAUUGAAGUUAGAAAAUCCAGUAUCGUGACUGACAACCCUACUAGAAACGCGAUUGUGAUUAUUCAGUUAGAGCUACAAGAAACUUAAAAGUUAAAAAGACAUAUCUUUGCUACUACCUCUGACAUUUAGUCAUGUACAUUUGCAUAAAAUCAUGCAGGUCUACAUAUAACUUGGCGAUAGCUUUAAUAGGUUGGAACGGCGGACUGAAAUCACUUCAUGGCACGAUGUGAGCGCUCGAUAAAUAAGUUAACAAAGAGAAGUUUGUUAUUUUUUAUGUGCUGAAGCUAACAUUCAGCUUCAGUCUGAGCUAGGAGAAUUUUUCUGAGCCCCCCCAAAACCAGGCCGGGUGCCUGGCAAAAAGAGGCCCGUUCACGAUUCUGAUUAUAAUUUGGGCAAGUGAACAUUACAUUCAGGCAAGUUGAACCUGACCUGUACUUGCCCGAUGGGCAAGUGCUUUUGAAACCUUAGUGUCAACCCCUGCAUAAGGCACUAAGUCCCCUCUGCCGCUCACACCCCCCUGACACUUUUAAUCAGCUGAGGGCGUUUGCCUGAGUCUCAUAGUAUUAGAACAUGUUGUACUUGUUUAUUAGCUCACGUUGUUAUGGCAAUGAAUACGCCCUCAGCUGAUAAACUAAUGCCAGCUUUUUUUUUCAACAGAAAAUUAUCACCCAUAUCAACAUAUAUUUGAUAUUUUCUGCUCCUUGCACCUAAUCAUGCUUAUCAUGCUACGCAGCAUUACAAGGCUCUGCUGACUAAAACAUGAAUCAAUUCAAGAAGAGGCAUAUAUAGAAUCGUCUUGUGGUCAACUGUCAUUUAAUAGACAUCUGACAGAUUAUGUCAAGGUUUUAAAAUUAUAGUAUUAUUAUUACCAGGUCACGUUAUAACACAGCUGGAAAUCGUGGAUUUUCUAAUAAAGACUAGCUAGCCUCUUUGACAGGCAAAACAGCAGAAACGAUGUUAGUUGCGCUCGUGCUGCAUUUUUGGUUUUGUCAAACAGGAGACGCCCACCCACCAAUCCGAGGUUAGAGAUUCCUGAAGGAAGGUUGCACUCGAUUUCACUAGCCCAUUUGAGCCUGUUCAUUAGUGUACAGCAUCCAUCCUCUCAUUGCUUGUGUAAAAAAAAACAGUAGAAUAUUAGAUUUGAGGACGAAACGAUAGGGUGGGCUAAGGCAAGUUUUUUUUCAAAAAGGUCUAGCUUCGCCACCGAUGGCAACGCUAUUGAAAUUGUUCCUAAAUGAAAAUCUUAAAAAAUAAGAGAUAUAUUUUUCAAAAUUAAAGGUUGUAGUAGGACGAUGAAGAGGCCAUGCCUCUAUGGAACAAGUUUUGUGGCUCUAGAGUCAAUAAUGGCGACGCUAUUGAAAUUUUACCAUUGUGGUCGUUUUCAGUUUUGCACUUUGCAUACGGUCGCUAAGCUCGCGGCUGAAAGCCGACUGCUCGUAGAAGCCAAUGCAAUUCACCGUUGCUAAAGACGGCUCGAAUCCUAACGCGAAACCGCAUAGGUCCGGAUAGAUUUGAAACCACCUCCGAGGGUGGU